ensembl:lncRNA
UUUUUUUUUUUUUUUUUUCUAAUAGAUUCAUAUCUUUGUUUCAUGCAGAUACAUUAUUCUUUUCCUACCACUCUUUGAGAGCUGGUCAGGGUGAAAGUGGUUCAGCAAGUAUUUCUGUGUUACAAGGAGAGCAACAUAGAAAACAUGACCUGAGUUAGCUUGUCUUUGAGGUCAUCAUUCUGACAGCAAGGAUGGCUGUGAUAAAGAUUUCUGGUUGGUUAAAGCUGUCUCUGUGUGUUGGCAAAAUCAGCCAGGCUGACUUGGAUCUAGCAGGAGCUAUGAAUACAUAAAUCCAUGGAAUGGAAGCUUUGCAGCUGUUGGUAUUUACACAGUACUGUGUCUUUGCAGAACUGGUUUUUGUUCUGGAAGCCUGCAGCAGCUUCACACUUCAUCAACCCCACCAGCUCUCAGGUGUAUAGCAAGGUGGGAGCUGCUUCUCUGUGGUCUUACUCCAGCCAGGAGCAGCCCUGUCCAUCCCUAAGCUUCACUAAUGCAUCAAAAUACUAAAAAACUACACAGCUUCUGGUUGUUGUAGAACGUUUUCUGUAUUUUGUGAACUGGCUGAGCUCCUGUCUAAGUCUGCCAAGCACUAUGGUUUUUGUGAAGUGAGCAAGAGGAUCAGAGAGGAGAGGAAGGGAAGCAGGCGCUCCUUUCUGGAGGCAUCCUGCUUGCAUUUUGGCUCCCAGUUUCAUGAGACUGCACACUGAAUUGAUGUGGGAGCACCGACUGUAGAGAAUUAUCUCCUUUUCAGCACCUAGGGCUGUCAGUAAAUACAUGACAAUCAAAAUAUGACUCCUGGCUUUAUGCUGUUGCCCUUAUCUGUAUGUUUCUCUGAAUGCCCUGCCUUUCUUUCUCUCUUCCCCUCUUUGUACUGAGCUGUUUCAGCUUAAAACCAGCUAAAAUUGACUUAGGUGGCUCCACCAGGAAAGACUUUUCUUAUAAAGUCUUUUUUAUGAAUGCCACUGGAAUGUCACUAUCCAGUGGACUUAGAAGGGGCUCACAAGUACUGCAAUUGAAGUAUUUAGAAAAGGCAAAAUUAUGGAAAUAAGUAAUUUAAAUUAUCUUGUCUUUGGAGAAAUGGGGGCAACAAAUCAACCCAGCAACAAUGCUCUUCUCUCUGGUUUCCAAGCCAGAUACUGACAAAACAAACUGAAGGGUUAAAAUCAAGGCUGCUUAAUCUGGGGGAGGGGAACGAGGACCAAGAUCACGUUACUGAUAAAAGAAAAUAUGUAAAAUAACAAAUUCCAGGCUUUCUCCCUUGGGGUGUGCAUUCAGCUGUAGAAAGAAUGUUUAUGGAAUAAUACAUUGUGUUGUUUAAGCAUGCUUCAAAGAACAAAUCUUUUCUUACCUUGUAGAAAUUCAUCUCAGCUUUUUCUUUUCUUUCUUUCUUUCAGACCGUAAGUCAGUAGAAGUGAUGUAUGUUACCCGUGGGGCAGUUUGCACAGGGCUAGCUUAAUCUGGGCACGUCCUUACCUUGGAUUGGAAGUCUGUUGUAUUUAAUGGGGUGUUAACUCAGUUUAUUCCCUGGGAUUUCUGCAGUAAUUUUAUUGCCUGCAAAAGGAGCAAUCUGAAGCCAGAUGAAGUGAAGGUAUGCUCUGUACCAUACCUGCUGAGCUUGGCAAUGAUGCCUGGACACAUUUACCUUAUUCUGGGGUUUCUGUUUUCUUCAUCACAUCUCUUGCAUGUAUUUUCCUGGUAGUACUGCUUUGAGUUCGAGGGUUAUCUCCCUUCUUUGAGAAAAUAGAUCCAUAGGCACUGCAUCUGGUCUGUUCCCAAGUCUGUGUCAAAUGUUCUUGGCAGUACAGGCAAGCAUAAGAGUAAUGGAUUCUGAAGUCAGAUUUUACGAAUGAGGCUGUUUGGUAGUUGAGUUCAGUGAUACUGCAGCAGAACAUAAAGUGAAUUACAGUCUAAAACAUUUAUAAUGUUAAAGAACUGGGUUCCUCUAAUGCUGAAGCACUAACAGAACAAAGAGAAAAAAAUCAAAGACAAAGGAUAAAAAAUCAUCUUCAAGUGGACAAACUGUGCAGGAUGACAGACUUUUAUAAAGACUUCUGUCAGAUGCGGCUGUUUGGUGAGGGAGGAUGGUGUAGAUCAGCACUGAUGCCUUAGGACAAAAAGCUCAAUUGUUCAGUCCUCUUACACAGGUGGUCUUACAACUCCUAUGUGGUAAAAGCACAGACAACAGUUUCAUGAACAUUAAAAAGCAUUUGGAUGUUAAAUUACUGGGCAGUAUGUGUUUAGUGUGAAUGACAGCCACGAUGUCACUUGUGCCUGGUGUCUUGGAGAACAGACUGCAGUAACUUCAUCAGACUCUUCUGAAGCACAACUUUGGCCUGAACUAAUAUCCUGAUAUAUCAAGUUGGUUUGUCUCAGUUAAGUUUGUUGUCAUGUGGUUUUGACAUACUUAUGUUGUAGGAAACAUUUCACAAUUAGAUCAACUGUUUUCUAAAGCCAAAGCUUCAGUGGAAAGUUUUUGGCCCCCAUGAAAUUAAUGAAAAUUUAGUUAUUGACAUUGCUGGAGCCAGGAUUUAAUCUGCAGUCUUCAGCAGUUAUAUAUGUGGUUAUGGAUUAUCAGUCCAUAUGGAAGCUGGAACUGUGUCUCCAGCUUUUCCUAGACUCAUCCAGUGUCUGUAGUGCUGCAGCUUCACAGAGGAGUCUGCGUGGGGGUUCUUCCUAAGGAGAAUCCAAGAGGAGCUCCUGCAAUGUAUUACCAGGCUGACAAAGCAUAUGUUUCUUCAGCUAAAAUAGCACUGCUCUUUCACAUAUAAUGGGGUCACUGUUUCUCUGCUGAGUUUCUCAUGUUAUUGAUACUUACUAGCUGGGUUCCAAUUUGAUGAUAAAAUAUCAGCACUUCAAAAUCCUAGCAGUGGGAAGGUUUCACAUCACCAAAAUGUCAGUCCUGUCACUUAAAGAAACACUUCUGUUACUUUCUGUCACUGCUGCUACUUUUUCUUUUCUGAUAGGAAAUUUCAGUUGGAUUCCCAAGUUCUCCACUAGCAAUUUCACUGAAUUCAGUAUUUCACUACCAUGGGCAAAUGCAAUGAAGGUGUUCUCAGGGUGGGGUGGGAGGACAGCCUGGAUCCAGAGGAUGUGGGUUUGGUUUCCAGGCCCUCUAUGUGUGACAGGUUCUAUUUCUGCUCCAUGGUCCAGUCAACAAAUUAGUGAAAGUUACUCAGUUCAGUGAUGAUGAUGUUAAAAGAACUGAUGGAGACAGAGUUUUUGAGCAGUGGGCUGUUUUUGGUCUGCUUUAGUUCUUCAUUGUGCUAAUGAAAAGAGUAAACAUCAUCCUUUUAGACAGAGCUGCCUGAAAAGGGGGCUGUGUCUUAGCCUAUGUAUCCAGGAACUACCACGGUGACCUGAAUAGGAAUCUAUAGGCUUUGUUCUGUUAAUUCAUCUACCUCCACUGGUAGUUUUGGAUAUGAUUAAGAGGAUUUGGAUUUGGAAAUAGUAAUUUGUUGUUGGCUUUUAAAUUACUAUUUAAACUAGACUUGUGAUGUCUUUUUUCUUCUUGAACUGUACUGCCUGAAAUAGUGCAACUCUUGCAGUUGAAUCCUAUUUUCCUUAUUCUUUCUCAAGCUCUGACCUUUAAGAACACAAGUGGAACUGGUAUCUAUACAAGGAUGUGGCAAAGGUCUUGUGUAGCCUUCUGAAAAGAGUCCUGUUUUGUUUGCAUCACAGAGUAGUCAGAAAAUGUAUCAGGGAAGAAUAGUGGAUAAAAGAAAAUGAAUGACAUGACUGAGUACAGUAGCCAGAAAUAACCUCCUGCCUGGGCUUGUUCACCUCACCAGAAAUUAUCAGUAUAACGGAAGUGUGAUUUUACAGCAUCUUUAACCAUAAGGGUGUAGUCUGUGUAGACAUACAUUUAUGUCAAAAUUCUUAAUUUUGAUGUGGAUACAUUAAUAAAAUGAUCCAAUAUAAAAAUCAGUGACCAUAUAAUCUUAUAUAAUUUAACCAUAUAAGUUUAAAAGCUGUUUAUUUAGCAUACUAAUGAGCACUGUCUGGGUUUGAUGUCUACAGACAAGAUUGUGCAUAGUAAAUAAUAAUCAUUGCAAAAAAAAAAAAAAAAAAAAAAGUGUUUCUCAGGGUCCUAAAUGCACCAGUCUCCACAAUCUAUGUGCUACUUAAUUUCUCCUGAAUUUCAGUCUUGUUCCUCACUUGAGUCAGUGUGAAAUGUGUUCCUACUGGGUUUUUUUAAGAUUUAGAACAAAUGACAGGCUGACCCAAGGGGUUUGACUGGAGAGGGAAGAACACUGAGUGCUGCUUCAGUGGAAGAAAUCUUGUUUUAUUAGUCCAGUCUGAUGUUUGAAGAAGAGAACAGAUCAGAUUUGGACUUCACUGGUAGAUCUAGAGCUGGCUGGGUUGCUGCCCUAGAGGGAAAGGUUCCUGUCAACUCCAGAUCUCCCAAGAGACAUAAUUUGCUGAGCUGGUGUGAUGAGAAGGUUCAGAGGUAGUGUCAGUCUGGAUGGUUCAUUAGUUUAAAUGUCUGGUGUUGGGAGGUACGUUCUCAAGCAAAGGCUUCUAAAUAUAAAAUAGUCUUGUGAAGUUUUCAUCUUAUGCAUAUUCACUUGUUGAAUUUACAUUUUGUUUUUCAUCUCUGAGCUCCUAGAACAGGGCCUUUCACAGAGGACAGCCUUCCCAUCUGUCUGAAUAAACUGACAGAAAGUUUUUGCAAAAACAGUCCCUUGUUUAACAUGUCCAUGCCCUCCAGCUAGUUUCUUUCAGAACACUUUGAAGACACUGCCAUUGUCACAUGCAAGCCUGAUUAAUCUAAAACUUGAACAAAAGUUUGAUCUGUGCACCCUUGAAUACAUUGACUGUACUUGGUGGAGGUGCAGGUGGAACCAUAAUACAGUUUUGCCUCAAGAGACCGAGGCAGUCCAGGCAGUGCUCUCAGUACAGAAAGUUCUUGGUGAAGCUGGAAGAGAGCAAACACAUCUGUCACUCACCUCUGGGGCAUCUGGAGGGGCUGCUUGGGAGCUGCAGGGAUCAGCUGGCAUGGAGGGCUUUCACCAGUGCUUGCAGAGAUGCACCUGUGGUUCCUCUGAGCCCAUUGUCUCUGGCUGGCCUCCUCUGCUUUCCUGUGCACUGCACUCAUGGGAAAAGGCAUGAAAUACAUCAAUAAGGGGAUGCAUUCC